AUUGAACGCUGGCGGCAGGCCUAACACAUGCAAGUCGAACGGUAACAGGAGGAAGCUUGCUUCUUUGCUGACGAGUGGCGGACGGGUGAGUAAUGUCUGUGAAACCGCCUGAUGAAGGGGGAUCACUAGUGGAAACGGUCGCUAAUACCGCAUAACGUUGCAAGCCCAACGAGGGGGACCUUUGGGCCUCUUGCCCUAGGUUUUGCCCAGAUGGGAUUGGCUAGUAGGUGGGGUAACGACUCACUUAGGCGACGAUCCCUAGCUGGUCUGAGAGAAUGACCAGCCACUCUGGAACUGAGACAGGGUCAAGACUCCUACGGGAGGCGGCGGUGGGGAAUGUUAGACAAUGGAGGCAAGCCUGAUGCGGCAAUGCGAGGUGUGUGUGGAGGGCCUUGGGGUUGUAAAGUACUUUCAGCGGGGAGAAAGGGAGUAAUGUUAAUAGCUAUGCUCAUUGACGUUACCCGAAGAGAAAGCACCGGCUAACUCCGUG
rnacentral:rRNA from 1 species